rnacentral:ncRNA from 2 species
GGGGAAGUCCGGUGAGAGUCCGGCGCUGACCCGCAACGGUAUGCGGACGUCCCGAAGGGGCACCGUUCCGCAAGCCCGAUCACCC